rnacentral:rRNA from 1 species
ACGGUAGCUAAUACCGCAUAACGUCGCAAGACCAAAGAGGGGGACCUUCGGGCCUCUUGCCAUCGGAUGUGCCCAGAUGGGAUUAGCUAGUAGGUGGGGUAACGGCUCACCUAGGCGACGAUCCCUAGCUGGUCUGAGAGGAUGACCAGCCACACUGGAACUGAGACACGGUCCAGACUCCUACGGGAGGCAGCAGUGGGGAAUAUUGCACAAUGGGCGCAAGCCUGAUGCAGCCAUGCCGCGUGUAUGAAGAAGGCCUUCGGGUUGUAAAGUACUUUCAGCGGGGAGGAAGGGAGUAAAGUUAAUACCUUUGCUCAUUGACGUUACCCGCAGAAGAAGCACCGGCUAACUCCGUGCCAGCAGCCGCGGUAAUACGGAGGGUGCAAGCGUUAAUCGGAAUUACUGGGCGUAAAGCGCACGCAGGCGGUUUGUUAAGUCAGAUGUGAAAUCCCCGGGCUCAACCUGGGAACUGCAUCUGAUACUGG